rnacentral:rRNA from 1 species
GAUGAACGCUGGCGGCGUGCCUAAUACAUGCAAGUCGAGCGAACAGACGAGGAGCUUGCUCCUCUGACGUUAGCGGCGGACGGGUGAGUAACACGUGGAUAACCCACCUAUAAGACUGGGAUAACUUCGGGAAACCGGAGCUAAUACCGGAGAAUAUAUUGAACCGCAUGGUUCAAUAGUGAAAGACGGUUUUGCUGUCACUUCUAGAUGGAUCCGCGCCGCAUUAGCUAGUUGGUAAGGUAACGGCUUACCAAGGCAACGAUGCGUAGCCGACCUGAUAGGGUGAUCGGCGACCCUGGAGCUGGGACGCGGUCCAGGGUCCUACGGGAGGCAGCAGUAGCGAAUGUGCCGCAAUGGGCGGAAGCCUGACGGAGCAACGCCGCGUGAGUGAUGAAAGUCUUCGGAUCGUAAAACUCUGUUAUGAGGGAAGAACAAAUGUGUAAGUAACUAUGCACGUCUUGACGGUACCUAAUCAGAAAGCCACGGCUAACUACGUG